rnacentral:rRNA from 1 species
GUUGGGAAUCUUGCGCAAUGGGGGCAACCCUGACGCAGCGACGCCGCGUGCGGGAUGACGGUCUUCGGAUUGUAAACCGCUUUUCCCAGGGACGAUGAUGACGGUACCUGGGGAAUCAGCCCCGGCUAACUCCGUGCCAGCAGCCGCGGUAAGACGGAGGGGGCAAGCGUUGUCCGGAAUUACUGGGCGUAAAGCGCUCGUAGGCGGUAUCCUACGGCGGUGGUGAAAGCUCCCGGCUCAACUGGGAGAGGCCCGCCGCAACGGGGGUACUCGAGGGUGGUAGAGGCAGAUGGAAUUCCUGGUGUAGCGGUGAAAUGCGUAGAGAUCAGGAGGAACACCCGUGGCGAAGGCGGUCUGCUGGGCCACACCUGACGCUGAGGAGCGAAAGCCAGGGGAGCGAACGGGAUUAGAUACCCCUGUAGUCC